rnacentral:rRNA from 2 species
AACGCGAAGAACCUUACCAAGGCUUGACAUCCAACUAAUCCCGUAGAGAUAUGGGAGUGCCCUUCGGGGAAAGUUGAGACAGGUGGUGCAUGGUUGUCGCCAGCUCGUGUCGUGAGAUGUUGGGUUAAGUCCCGCAACGAGCGCAACCCCUAUAUUUAGUUGCUAACAGGUAAAGCUGAGAACUCUAGAUAGACUGCCGGUGACAAACCGGAGGAAGGUGGGGAUGACGUCAAAUCAUCAUGCCCCUUAUGUCUUGGGCUACACACGUGCUACAAUGGACGGUACAGACGGAAGCGAAGCCGCGAGGUGAAGCAAAUCCGAGAAAGCCGUUCUCAGUUCGGAUUGCAGGCUGCAACUCGCCUGCAUGAAGUCGGAAUCGCUAGUAAUCGCAGGUCAGCACACUGCGGUGAAUACGUUCCCGGGCCUUGUACACACCG